AGACCCGAAACCCGGUGAUCUAGCCAUGGGCAGGUUGAAGGUUGGGUAACACUAACUGGAGGACCGAACCGACUAAUGUUGAAAAAUUAGCGGAUGACCUGUGGCUGGGGGUGAAAGGCCAAUCAAACCGGGAGAUAGCUGGUUCUCCCCGAAAGCUAUUUAGGUAGCGCCUCGUGAAUUCAUCUCCGGGGGUAGAGCACUGUUUCGGCUAGGGGGCCAUCCCGGCUUACCAACCCGAUGCAAACUGCGAAUACCGGAGAAUGUUAUCACGGGAGACACACGGCGGGUGCUAACGUCCGUCGUGAAGAGGGAAACAACCCAGACCGCCAGCUAAGGUCCCAAAGUCAUGGUUAAGUGGGAAACGAUGUGGGAAGGCCCAGACAGCCAGGAUGUUGGCUUAGAAGCAGCCAUCAUUUAAAGAAAGCGUAAUAGCUCACUGGUCGAGUCGGCCUGCGCGGAAGAUGUAACGGGGCUAAACCAUGCACCGAAGCUGCGGCAGCGAACGUAUCACCCAAGACAACUUUACGGAGUUGACGAUUGACGGAGCGAAGCGACGUCAAAGCGUUCAUUAAAGUCGAGUUGGCUUAGGGAUACGUUCGUUGGGUAGGGGAGCGUUCUGUAAGCCUGUGAAGGUGUGUCGUGAGGCAUGCUGGAGGUAUCAGAAGUGCGAAUGCUGACAUAAGUAACGAUAAAGCGGGUGAAAAGCCCGCUCGCCGGAAGACCAAGGGUUCCUGUCCAACGUUAAUCGGGGCAGGGUGAGUCGACCCCUAAGGCGAGGCCGAAAGGCGUAGUCGAUGGGAAACGGGUUAAUAUUCCCGUACUUGGUGUUACUGCGAAGGGGGGACGGAGAAGGCUAUGUUGGCCGGGCGACGGUUGUCCCGGUUUAAGCGUGUAGGUGUGUGUUCCAGGUAAA
rnacentral:rRNA from 1 species